CAUGUAGGCGGUUUUUUAAGUCUGGAGUGAAAAUGCGGGGCUCAACCCCGUAUGGCUCUGGAUACUGGAAGACUUGAGUGCAGGAGAGGAAAGGGGAAUUCCCAGUGUAGCGGUGAAAUGCGUAGAUAUUGGGAGGAACACCAGUGGCGAAGGCAGUCUCCUGGGCAAAUACUGACGCUCAUAUGCGAAAGCGUGGGUAGCAAACA
rnacentral:rRNA from 1 species